GCCGGAAUUCGCGAGCGAGGUGCAGAGCGAGCCAAAGUGGAACGAGUGGGAGAAGAGCCUGGAGUUUCCGUAUUACAUGGAUACCAGUCUGAGCAACGGCUUCAGCCAAUUCUCGAGCAAUAACAACAACAACAUUCAGAUGUCGCCGCUUCAGGACAUGUUCAUGUACUGGCCAAAGCCCUUUUGAUUUUCACACCCCCACAACAGAUUCCUACGUCGCCCACGGCCACACACAGCACCACGCAUUCGCAUUGCACGGCAGCACGAGACUGAAGGUCCAUGAGUGUGCCUGUGCGAUCAC
rnacentral:lncRNA from 1 species